UGCGUGCUGCUUUGGCGGCUGGCGUCCCCUGGGCCACUCUGUUUGGCUCUUCCUGACGCGGUGCUAAAAUCUUUCCUGUAAUAGUACCGCUGCAGCAGGAGAUCGAGUGACUGACAAAAAAGUGAACUAAGGAAAACGUUCUGGGGUUCUUAAAGCGUGCGUUAUGGUUUCUAGCUUCGAUUCCAAGCUUGCCGAUCAGGAGAGGCAGAAGAGAAUAGUUUAUCUCGAUAAUGGGGGAUAACAUCUGUACUUUCUUUGCAGUGUCGUCCUGAGGUUAUGAGCAAUGUUGCCAGAAGAUACGGUGCUUUCGAUCAGCUACCUUUAUUAUCGUUUCAAGGGUAAUGAGUCAAGCAGUAUGAUUCCUUCUGUGUUCACUACGCAGUACUUCAUGUGAGUCUCUUGAAGCAUUUCACAUGUUUGUUUCUUCUUAAGAGAUAUAGACAUGAAUGCUCAGCAUAUGCAUUUUGUUAACCCAGAAGAGCCUCUAGAAACUUUUCUGCGUCAUUUUGCAAGAUGAGGAUUUUUGUUACUUUUGAGAGAUAUGGUGGAUCUUUGACAUUUCUUUAGACUAAGACUAGGCAAGAUACAAAACAUUAUAAAAGUAGGAGGAUAGCUACUUAUGCUUGGUUCUGUUUCCGAUGCUUGCUUUUUAUAUUUAGUUUUUGACGUAAGUACAGGUAAAGAUGCUGCCUGUUUAUUGUUUGAUCCUGAAAAGGUUUUUGUUGUUUAUUUUACGCUAUCUUAAUUCAAAUUUCUGUGAAAGCUUUCAGGGACUUUUCCUGUAUACUCAUGGAGAUAAAGGACAGGAUUUUUGCCUGGCAUCACUUGGCUCUCUUCCUAAUUUAGCGCUAAGAAAAUUAACAUCCCUCAUCUCUAAGCCAUGA
rnacentral:lncRNA from 1 species